rnacentral:rRNA from 1 species
CCCUUAGAUGUUCUGGGCCGCACGCGCGCUACAAUGAUGAAUUCAACGAGUUUAUAACCUUGGUUGAAAAGCCUGGGUAAUCUUUUGAACUUUCGUCGUGAUGGGGCUAGACCCUUGCAAUUAUUGGUCUCCAACGAGGAGUUCCUAGUAAACGCAAGUCAUCAGCUUGCAUUGAUUACGUCCCUGCCCUUUGUACACACCGCCCGUCGCACCUACCGAUUGAAUGGUCCGGUGAAAUCUUCGGAUUGAGACUUUGUUUUCUUCACGGAAAACGCUGUUUUAAAAAGUUGAUUAAACCUUACCAUUUAGAGGAAGGUGAAGUCGUAACA